GAGAUCAGAGAGUAGCUCGACUACUGCUGAACAGACAGUCUCAAAUCAUUUAACUCAAGUGAUAUUCACUUUUUACUAUCGGUAUUAAACUUAGCAAUAAUUAUCAAACUGAACAAUUAAAUCAGUAUCGCAGUAUCUAUGAUUUCAGUAGCGUUUUCGUCUCUGUUCUAUUACGUUCCCAGUCUAGUGUGUAUUUCGGACUGGUUUAAAGCGUUGCAGAAAACAUAUCAUAAGUUUGUGAAUUUUGAAAAUCUGAAUGACAGUUAUAAGUUUGUAAAGAAAGUUUGCGUGUAUUAUCUUGCUUCGCAAGUCUUGAAAAAGAUUUUCGGAAAAUGACAAAACAAAAAUCUCAAGACACAACAGAAGAAAAUCUCAGAAAACUUCCUAGUAGGGGUUGUAAGUGUUCUCCAAGAACACGAACUCUAGCUAUUGGAUGGUUCAAUUUUAUAAUCUGUCUAAUCUCCUUCGAAUGUAUUUUAUGGUAUGGUGUGAACAGCACUGACGAGCAUUUAGACAGAUUCCUUUACAAUACAGCAGACCUCAGUCCACAAAAGUGGAAUACAUAAAAUCUGUAGCAGGGUUUGCAAGGGAGGAAGCCAUUUUGAGAAAUUUAGAAUACAAUCAGAUAAAGAACAAACUGGCUAAGAUGGGAAUGUUAGAGUGUAUGAUUCGGAUAUUCUUCAAGAUCCUUUGUAUGACCACUGGAAUGCCCUGAGACCUGCAGUUAUACUUAGUGAUAUU